rnacentral:lncRNA from 1 species
GUAAACAACUAUUUGAUAAUUGCCAUUGUUUAGUAUGCAUUUUUAAAAAUUUGAAUAUCAGGGUGAUUGGUUUUUGUUCAGUCUGAAUUCUGUUUCGAGUGGAAACAAUUUUUGUUUCUGCUUUUACGACUUAUGUCAAGAUGAAGCAUUUCCACAAGCCUGUAAGCCCUGUUGUGUCGUCUGGUAAUGCUGGCCCUGUCGCCCACCUCAUUAGCUUAUUAUAGAGGUUCGUCAAGGGUGUAUAAUUUGAAAGGAUAUAAUUAUAUACUCACUGAACAUAUUACCCAUAAUCAGCUGCUAAAUAGUUGAGCCAGUGCUAGUCUGCGGGAACAAUAAUCACUGUUCUCUAAGGCAAAGGACACAAAUCCGAACCACGAGAGGUGAGCUAAAGGUAGGAGGCUCCUCUCUCUCCCCGGUCAGGGUACAACUCGUUGAAUUGAAGAGCUUCUAUUUGAAGUGUCAAACAAGUGCAGGUACUAUCUUCGAUGACAAACUUAAAUGGGACAUCAGCACUGACACAAUCCUCCGUAAGUCAACAACGCCUGUACCUCCUACACAAACUCAGAUCUUCCUUUCUCAGCUCUGUCAUCCUCACUGGUUCUAUCAGUCCUUCAUCGAAAGUCUCAUCACUUUUUCUUCUAUCUCUUGGAACAGGAAGAGUCCUGUCUCCCAUGAUAGUAUCUGUGCCAAGAACACCGGAAUCAGGCAGAGGGACUUGACAGUCUCUUUUCAUCAAAUCCUCAGGGAGGCAUCCUCUGUAUUUCUGAUCAUGUGUUGACAUGUGAGUUUUCACUCUGGUAGUCUGGCUGUAGGUACCCAUGUCUGUAUGACAUAGUAUUGUAUGGUAUGGUAUGGUAUUGUUUGUAUGGCAUUGCAAUGUAUUGUAUUGCACGCUCAGAGACCAGGGCUAGAAACUGAAACUGAGAACUGCAUGUGGGUGAGACAUUCAAGGAUAAGGGAAUGUGGUGUCACAAUCAUGUAUCGUGUUGUUUCGCUCACAAAUACAAACACAUCUGCCUACAGGUCAUCUAGUGUUUGACAAUAACAGUAAGGUGAUCCUCGAUGUAACCAUUUGCUCGUUAACCUUCGCUUCUCCUGUUCCCUCCAAUGCAUGUGGCUUGAAGUCGGACUCCGAUGUCAUGCGUUCACUAACAAACUGUCCCAGCACCGCUCGCGGCUGUAUUCAUUAGUGUUGUGAACAUGUACUGUCCCUCCAGUUAGAUAAUGGAAGAGAAAGGGAGAAGACCAUUUUAAUUAACCUUCGCUGGCAGCGCUUGCCUUCCCAGGAAGACACGACAAGGGGAGGAACACCACGUGUAGGGAGAGGAAGCUGCGUCUUCUGACAAAGCUGUCCAUAGGCGCAGUCUACGUAGCCGGGAGAUGGACUGAGUGUUUGGAGCUGAUGUCAGAAAGUAUUUGAAGCAGAGAAUACAAUGUGGAGCAUCUGGCCCCAGUAGCCGCCAGGAGCCGCUCACAUCACAGGUGAAAACUUGCUGACCAACAGCAGCAGGACAAGAAGAUUGAGUUCGCUCGUCCCCAGGAGGCAGCCACGAUGUGUUUUAACGUCUGUCUCCUGGCAGUGAUUUUUAAAAAAAAAUUAUUUAUGGAAUAUAUUUUACUUUAAUACAUGCAACAUCGGACUGCAGUGACUAUAAUUAAAGAUGUAAAAGAACACUAUCAAGUGUGGAGGGUAAACAGGGACCUAAGUUCCAGACUACAAACUUGUAGUAGUAGUCUAACAAUCAACCAGAAAAAAAGGAACUUUCUUUAAGGACUGUGUUUGCAAUUAGAGACUUUAAUAAGUAAUGAGAGAAAGUAGUAAUUAGGACUGAUGUAUGUAUACUGAGAAAUCACUGUUCUACUUUAUCGUUUACUUUUUAAUUAGUCACUCUAUAAUAAAUUUUGUCGAUAUACUUAUAUCGAUAUAUAUCUAUAGACCUGCAAACAGGCAGAGUUCGCUGUCUUGUUUUGUGAAUAAAAUGUCCAGGCAA